rnacentral:antisense_RNA from 1 species
CUCUGUGACUGGCUUGCUUGAUAGUUAGGGUCUGAUUGCUGCCUGAGACACCAUAUCGGUACUCCUCAGAGUUGAUUCUGCAUGUGAAAAACGUAAAAAGAAAAAAAGUCAACUUCUUCAUGCAAUGUGAUCACAGGAUCUGGUUUGCCACUGAAAGGAAUCUUGAUGCUGACCACUUCACCUCGGAGAGCAUGAACUGCUCCCAUGCCUUCAAGAGUUUUAGGAUGGCAUCAACUGUUCCAAAAACAUUGCUGAGCUGGACUUUGUAUUUCCCAGCAUGAGUCUUACGUUGGACAUUCUUCAUGACAAGUGGGUAACCAGGAUGGAACUGUGGUGUUGCUUGCAGGAGAAGCUUACUACUGGUUUCUACUUCUCCAACCUCAUUGGUGGCUAUGCAGGCACUGUCUCCAGACUGUCUAUAUUCAACCCAGUAUCCAAGAAUUUCUUUGCCACCAUCACAUUCAGGUUUCUCCCACUGUAGAGUGACACUAUCUUUGGAUAUUGAAAGAAUCUCAAGUUCUCCUGGUUGGCUUGGUUUAUCUGAAAUAUUUUAAAAUAAUGAAAAGGGAAUCAGCUUUACUGGUGAAAUAAAAGGACCAAACAU